AACGAACGCUGGCGGCAUGCCUAACACAUGCAAGUCGAACGAGACCUUCGGGUCUAGUGGCGCACGGGUGCGUAACGCGUGGGAACCUGCCCUUAGGUUCGGAAUAACUCCCCGAAAGGGGUGCUAAUACCGGAUAAUGUCUUCGGACCAAAGAUUUAUCGCCUUUGGAUGGGCCCGCGUUGGAUUAACUAGUUGGUAGGGUAAAAGCCUACCAAGGCGACGAUCCAUAGCUGGUCUGAGAGGAUGAUCAGCCACACCGGGACUGAGACACGGCCCAGACUCCUACGGGAGGCAGCAGUGGGGAAUAUUGGACAAUGGGCGAAAGCCUGAUCCAGCAAUGCCGCGUGAGUGAUGAAGGCCUUAGGGUUGUAAAGCUCUUUUACCCGGGAUGAUAAUGACAGUACCGGGAGAAUAAGCUCCGGCUAACUCCGUG
rnacentral:rRNA from 1 species